CAUUAUGUCUAUAGAAAAUUGUGUUUUGAGUUAUGAUAAAUUUUAACUACAACAGAUAUUUUAGAACACAAUCCCAUCAUAGUUGUAUUUUAAAACAAGUACAAUAAAACUCCAUUUAUUUGGAAUAUUGAAAAUCUGAAUAAUCUAAAAAAAAUGAAAAAAUUAUUUGUCGAUUUUAAAUAGGCUGUUAGCUAGAGCGUUAAGCACAAUUAAAAUUUAAUUUCUUGAUGUAUAAUUAAUUUUAAGAAUGAUGGUUGAGUAUGAUUUCUGUUUUUUCCUCUUUCCUGUUUUAUGCAUUUUCUAAUAGCAGGGUGCUGUUCAGCGGGCUUUAUAUUGCUGUUUAUGGGGUGCCAUACAAUGCUGACAUGAUUGUUAACUGUAGAAUACAAUUCAUUGCGACAGAUCCCGAUUCCCCCAAUUUUCCCUUCUUUCUACAUUUAUUGCAUGAUUUCUUCUUAUUCUGAUUAGAGAAUGGAUAAUUUUUAAUGCAUAUCACUACCAAUUUUUAUAUAAAAGUUUUUUCUUUUAGAAUAUCGCACGUAAAAAAUAUUAUAAUACAGUCAAACCCCGAUAAUACGUCCCCCUUUAAGCCGCCACAUUGGCUGACCGCCAAGAACUUUGGCGGAACAUAUCUUCCUUAUGUAAAUCGAACAUAGAAACCCCGGUAAAAAGCACUCACACCAUCCGCCAGUAGAAACGAUAAAACAAAUACAGUCGAGCCCCGAUUUAACGAAUCGUACGGAGUUGAGAAUUUAUCCGUUAAAUCGA
rnacentral:lncRNA from 1 species